GCGAAGCGGGGCGGGGUAUCAUUCCCCUAC
rnacentral:sRNA from 1 species